ACCUAUGCCUAGUUGGAUUUCACUUGUAUUGAUAAAAUACAGAGAUGAUAUUGUGUACCCUGCACAAGGGUGCCAUGCAAAUUUGUGAAGCUUUAAAUAAUUUU
ensembl:snRNA U6 U6 spliceosomal RNA